AAACUCUCAAAACUCCAGAUUUAAUUAUGUGGUGGUUUUGGACUAUGGGAUUGCCGGUUCUUAUUGUGGACCAGCUCUCCUGAAAUGCAUGAGUGGGGCUAAUGCAAUAAUAUGCUCUAUGGUGUGAUAAGACUUAAAUGUUGAACACCCUUUGAGUUGUUUGUAUAACCUGCUAUGUAACAGUCCGUUGGACAAAUUGACAA
rnacentral:misc_RNA from 1 species